rnacentral:lncRNA from 1 species
CAUUAGGUCAAUGACAGUAACAACUCCCAGGAGGUGAUGGCCGGAAGAACAUGGCAGAGGGCAAAACAAAACAGCAUUGGGAACAAGCUCUGUUUAAAAGGAGACUUGUGAACAGCAAAGAGUAGAAAGGGUUCUCUUACAACUGAAGCCCAUGGAAGACAAAUGUGUACUGCGUGAGUUUUAAGGCAAUAGGAGUAGUGGGACCUAGGGCACACCAGAGAGCAUAUUAACUCUCAAACUUUUAAAAACAUUAUAUCUGCUGGACACAGUGGCUCACACCUUAAUCCUACAACUUUGGGAGGCCGAGGCGGGCGGGUGUAGCUUGAGCCCAGGAGUUCGAGACCAACCUGGGCAACAUGGCAAAAUCCCGUCCCUACAAAACAAACAAACAAAAAACAAAAUUAGCCAGGCACGGUGAUGCGUACCUGUGGUCCCAGCUACUCAGAGGCUGAGGUGGGAGGAUCGCUUGAGCCCCGGGAGGUUAAGGCUGCAGUGAGCCAUGAUAAUGCCACUGCAUCUCAGCCUGGGCAACAGAGGGAGAACCUGUCUCAAAACAAAAACAAAAACACACCAUACCCAACCACAAUGCAUCUGUCUUAAGUACCAGUACCACACCCCUCUACUCACUACUAAAUAGGUGAGUUCCCAAUCCCUGGUAGCAGGUUUAAGCAUGUUAUAUUAAAGGUCUUAGGCUAGUGACUCAUUCACUCAUUAAACAAAUACUUAUUGUGCAUCUACUAUAAACUAAGUACUGUGCUAGGUACAAAAGCAAAUAAUCUAAGCUCUAUAAACUUUACUUUCUUCAUCAACAAAAUGGAGAUGUUUUAGGCAUCUACUCAUCAUUCUGAGCUCCAUCUUUUGUGACUGUAGUUGGCAGAGCUUUUUAUCAGUUUCUCUAAAUAGCUCUACCAGUCCCUGGUGGAUGCUGGCAUGCCCAAAGGAUCCAUCCUGAUGGCCCUGUCUGCUUACCUUACCUGCCUGCCUUUGCAGCACCGCUCUGCUCUUCUGCAGGACUUCCCUUAUCCUUUGGGGUCUUGCUGCUCUUAGGCUGCUCUGCUUGUUUUGAUCUGCUUUGCAUCACAUGUAUGUAAAGGUCCUUUCCUUAUUUACCCAUGACCAAGGUAUUAUGAGAUUCUGGAAUUUCCCCAAACCACAUUGAUUGCUGGGAGAAUAGAAGAAGUGGAUUACAAGUGGAACUUAGAAGGGGAGUAUUCGAGAAGACGUCUCUGCAAAUCCAUUUAGAGAGACCUUUCUCCAGUGGUGACUCAAAGAUGCAGCUCCUUUCAUCCUGUGGCUUGGCCAUCUUCAGCACAUGGCUCCCAAGGAUGUCCUCAGGAUGGUCUCUAAUCCAAGGAGCCUGAAGAGAAAAAAAGGCAUGGAGUAUUGUGAGUGGUAGGUGGUUAUGGACCAGUUAUGGAAGAAUACACAUCACUUUUGCCCACCUUCUACUAACCAGAACUCACACAGCCAUAGACACUGACAAGUAGGACUUAACAAGAAUCUAAUUUUGAGUCUAGGAAUACGACUGUAGCAAAUAUUUAACAGCUUCAAACACAGGUGCAUUGCUAUCACUAUGCUUGGCCCAGGCCUGUCUCCCUUUCCUGCCAUGUCACAGGGGCCAGCAUUUAUGUCUAGAUUGGGUUGGUUGGGAUAUUAAGACAAUAAUGAACCAAUACAACAUCUUGAGCAUAAAACCAACUGAUACAAUGAUGUACAAGUCAGAUGAUUCUGAUGAUUAUGAAUUAUGUCAAUAAAAGAAAUGUGAUAACUAA